GAUGAACGCUAGCUACAGGCUUAACACAUGCAAGUCGAGGGGUAACGAGAGGAAAGCUUGCUUUCCUUGUCGACGACCGGCGCACGGGUGAGUAACGCGUAUCCAACCUGGCCCCAACUAGGGAAUAACCUUGCGAAAGUAAGACUAAUACCCUAUAAUUUCCUCAGAUGUCAUCUGACGAGGAAUAAAGAUUUAUCGGUUGUGGAUGGGCAUGCGGCUGAUUAGCUUGUUGGCGGGGUAACGGCCCACCAAGGCAACGAUCAGUAGGGGAUCUGAAAGGGAGGGCCCCCACAGAGGAACUGAGACAAGGGCCAAACACCUACGGGAGGUAGCAGUGAGGAAUAUUGGUCAAUGGGCGGAAGCCUGAACCAGCCAAGUAGCGUGCAGGAUGACGGCCCUAUGGGUUGUAAACUGCUUUUAUACAGGAAUAAAGUUAGCCACGUGUGGUUAUUUGUAGGUACUGUAUGAAUAAGGACCGGCUAAUUCCGUGCCAGCCGCCGCCGUAA
rnacentral:rRNA from 1 species